AUGUGGAACUGUCGUAAUCGGGCUACAUUUGAACAAAAGAAGCUAAGAACUCCUUUUGAUGUGAUUUUUUCUGCAUGUGGAUAUAUGAACUACUGGGCAGGCCUGAUGGAGGGAGCUGAUCGCGAGACAAUGCAGCGUGGCGCCAAGAUGCUCAAGACCAACGUGGCUAGCAUGAGGAGGAUUUGUGCGGCCCCAGCUGAAGCAUCAUUGGACUGA
rnacentral:rRNA from 1 species